AUUGAACGCUGGCGGCAGGCCUAACACAUGCAAGUCGAGCGGAUGAAGGGAGCUUGCUCCUGGAUUCAGCGGCGGACGGGUGAGUAAUGCCUAUGAAUCUGCCUGGUAUUGGGGGAUAACGUCCGGAAACGGGCGCUAAUACCGCAUACUUCCUGAGGGAGAAAGUGGGGGAUCUUCGGACCGCACGCUAUCAUAUGAGCCUAGGUCGGAUUAGCUAGUUGGUGGGGUAAAGGCCUACCAAGGCGACGAUCCGUAACUGGUCUGAGAGGAUGAUAAGUCACACUGGAACUGAGACACGGUCAAGACUCCUACGGGAGGCAGCAGUGGGGAAUAUUGGACAAUGGGCGAAAGCCUGAUACAGCCAUGCCGCGUGUGUGAAGAAGGUCUUCGGAUUGUAAAGCACUUUAAGUUGGGAGGAAGGGCAGUAAGUUAAUACCUUGCUGUUUUGACGUUAACAACAGAAUAAGCACCGGCUAACUUCGUG
rnacentral:rRNA from 1 species